CCUACGGGAGGCAGCAGUGAGGAAUAUUGGUCAAUGGCCGCAGGGCUGAACCAGCCAAGUCGCGUGAGGGAUGACGGUCCUAUGGAUUGUAAACCUCUUUUGUCAGGGAGCAAAGGGCGCCACGUGUGGCGCUUUGCGAGUACCUGAAGAAAAAGCAUCGGCUAACUCCGUGCCAGCAGCCGCGGUAAUACGGAGGAUGCGAGCGUUAUCCGGAUUUAUUGGGUUUAAGGGGUGCGCAGGCGGAAUGUCAAGUCAGCGGUAAAAUUUCGGGGCUAAACCCCGUCGUGCCGUUGAUACUGGCGUUCUUGAGUGAGCGAGAAGUAUGCGGAAUGCGUGGUGUAGCGGUGAAAUGCAUAGAUAUCACGCAGAACUCCGAUUGCGAAGGCAGCAUACCGGCGCUCAACUGACGCUCAUGCACGAAAGCGUGGGUAUCGAACAGGAUUAGAUACCCGGGUAGUC
rnacentral:rRNA from 1 species